rnacentral:misc_RNA from 1 species
GAUGAAGAACGUAGCGAAAUGCGAUAAGUAAUGUGAAUUGCAGAAUUCAGUGAAUCAUCGAAUCUUUGAACGCACAUUGCGCCCGUCAGUAUUCUGGCGGGCAUGCCUGUUCGAGCGUCAUUACGCCCCUCAAGUCCCCUGUGGACUUGGUGUUGGGAAUCGGCGAGGCUGGUUUUCCAGCACAGCCGUCCCUUAAAUUAAUUGGCGGUCUCGCCGUGGCCCUCCUCUGCGCAGUAGUAAAACACUCGCAACAGGAGCCCGGCGCGGUCCACUGCCGUAAAACCCCCCAACUUUUUAUAGUUGACCUCGAAUCAGGUAGGACUACCCGCUGAACUUAAGCAUAUCAAUAAGCGGAGGA